GAUGGAUUGGGGGGAAGGGAGAAGCAGACGGAGUGACUGGAAACAUUUUUUUCCCCCUGUUAAAAGAACUCUGCCUGGAAAUUAACAUGCAAGAAAUUCAGGAUGAUUUAUACACACCUAAGACAUCAUCAUUUAUGUAAAUGGCUCUUCCCAGUCCUCUUAGGCACAAUUACUCCCGAAAGUUGCUUAUUUUCAAAGAAAGGAAUGCGGCAGGACCAUCUGAUGGUCUCGCCUUGAGACUGCUCUGCAAUAAUAUUAAGGAAAAAUCAACCACGCCUCUUAGGAAAAGGGAAUCUAGGCUCUGGCCCUGGACCCAAGUUAAGGAUCCAGUUUUCUCUGGUACAGAGUUUCCUUUCAGUCCGUCAGAGGCUAUCCUCCCCAAAGGAAUCCAACAAAGGGUGUUUUUGAGGAGCAUUGUGGGAAUUUCCUAAGACAUGGGCUGGACGGCAGUGACAUUAAGUUCUCUGUCUCUGCCUGAGAGGCGCAGCUCUCAGUAAUUCUGAGUAACCAGGGAAGACGCAGCUGAACCAAAGCUGGAGAGUGUUUUACAUAGUCCUAUAGGAGAAGAAAAGAACGAUGCUCUAAAAUGUCUACACACAACAAGGCCAAAGUUUUCUUAAUAUCUUUGAGUAUGGUCGCUUUUGUGGUUAUGGUGGUGAUGAAUGGUGCGGCAGGUUCUGGAGCAUUCAAAGGUAUAUUCCAGAGAACUGUUGGAAACAUCUCCAACAAGUAUAACACUGACUUGACCCCAGCUGGCUGGACCUUCUUCAUUUGGAAUGUCAUCUAUUUGUGGCAGUUAGCUUGGCUUGGCUAUGCUCUAUCUGGAAUCUGCAGAAGGAAUGAACUUGGAUGGUUCUACGCGAAACCAGAUGUCUUGCCAAUUCUGUUUUACGUGGUGUGGAUCCUGAAUAACGCCUUGAAUGUUGGGUGGCUGUUUCUAUGGGACAAAGAAUACCUCAGCCCUGCUCUGCUUAUCCUCACAGGGCUCACAGGUUCCAAUUAUGUGAUUCUCUCCUUGGCCUGUCGAGGACUCCAUUCCCAUAGAACCUGGCUUCAGAAUCACCAUAGGACUGACCUGUGGCUCCUCCGCAUUCUGGUGCAGAAUGGGAUUGCACUUUAUGCCACAUGGACCACAGUGGCAACACUAUUGAAUUUUGCAGUUGUGUUGAUAUACAGCAUGGGAGUGGCCAACCAGACUUCCACUACUAUUGGCCUGUCUAUUCUUCUCAUGCUGCUGGUGGUCUGGUUCUACCUGGAAAACUUCCUCCUGGAUAAAUAUGUGCAUUACAUCCUCACUGUAUACCCGGUGGUCAUGGUCGCAUUGUCUGGCAAUAUUGCUCAGCACUAUAAUACAUCUGCUCCAAGCAGAAACAACAUCUUCGCAGUUGUCCUGAUGGUUGCGACAAGUGUGAUGUUUUUGGUUCGGCUUGGCCUGGUUACCUGCAGGCAUCGCUAUCAGCCGCUUACUGUGAGUGAGUCAUUGUUUUCAGAGCCGGUAAAGCUAGGAAAGAACCUCAGAGAUGCUGAAGAUGACCUUAGGAAAAGAAGCUACAGAUCUCAGGAGAUGGAGCCAGAACACCUUGCUGUGAAGUCAUUCUAAUUAUGGGCAAGACCAUUGAGCAUCAGGGCUUUGCCUCAUGCCAAAACAGCUGUGGAAUAUGGAUGAAUGAAACGCAUUUAUUCAGCAUUUACUAAGUGCUAACCAUUAGGUUAAUUGUUAGGGAUACAAAUACAGAAGUGAGACCUCAUCUUUGUCUUCAAAGGGCUUUUUAGGGGAAAACAAAGCAUAUGGUGGCCUAGGAAUAAUAUUUUGGCCUGGGAAGUAGCAGGAAUGGCAUAUGGAGCCCUAGAGGAAUCAAAUAAUUACUUUUUUUUAAAAAAUUUCUCUUAAAAUAAAUAAACGUUUAUUUUCCUUUUUCCCA
ensembl:lncRNA